GAAAGAAAGAAAGAAAAGAAUGCAUAGUGAGAUUUUACAGUAAAACUCUUUCUUAGAGGCUAAAAACUCUGGGGAUCUCACGAUGUGGGUACAUUUCUAGAGAUAAUAUUUUAGAUCUCUAUAGAUAUUAUUUUAAUACAUCUUUUUCUUUUUGGUUUGACUGUGUAUCAUAUGGCUUUUCUUCUUGGAAGUUAUCAAACUUCUCCCUAACUAAGGUCCUUGCAUAUGCUGACCUGUUUGACAUACUCCCACUCUGGUCUACUCAUUCUUCAGGUAUCAUUUUCAUUCCUGUCACUACCCCUUAACCCAACCCAGACAAGGUUAUUGUGCACUGAAUCAUUUCAAAAUGCCACUUUAAAAAUGAGUAAAUAUUUAUGUAAUUAUGUGUUGAAUAUACCUCCUCUUUACAAGCAUAUAAGUCUAUGAUACAAGUCUAUGCUUGUCUCUUCUAAUUCUGGUACAUCAUGUGAUAUGAGAACCAUGGUAGGCAAUCAAUAAUGCAGAGACGAAAUGUUUUUAUCUUAGAGAGACUCUCACAGAAGUUUCUAGUUUAGAGAUGCUUCACUGAAGUUUAUGGCCUCAACUUCCUUGGGUCUUGAUUACUAUCAGUGGAUGCAGUGAUGGAGGGUAGGUAAAAUCCAAUGUUAUCUACAAGUUCUAGACUACAGCCAACAAACUUUUUCCAAAAUAGGCCAGAUAAUAAAUAUAUUAGGUUUUUUGGGCCAUGAAGUCUCUGCUGCAACUACUCAGCUCCACAUUUGUAGUGGAAAAGCAGUUAUAGAUGAAACAUAAAAUGAAUUAGUGUGGCUGUGUUCAAAAAAAGCUAUUUUCAAAAACAGCCAGUGGGAAAGCUUUGGUCCUUGAGCCAUAGUUUGCAAAAUUUUGUUCUAAACAGUAAUUCCUUCACUGGAGAUUUUAAAAACAGAAAGAGAAUACAGACAGCUAUACAUGUUCUGGUCUAUUCCUGUUCUCUAGUAUAGCAGCACCUUAAAAUUGUAUUACUAACAGAGUACAGGAGAUUGUAUGGAAGGCCUAUAGUGAUGACUCUUUCAUCAGCUUUGUUCGUAAUAAAUUAACUGUAUGUGUUUCAGAGAGUCAUAUGACUCCAAAAUGAUUUAACACAUGCUGCUACAAGCCAGCCUUCUUAAGUUUUUAUUAAAUCUUGAUUGUUUUGGUCACAUAAUUUUUAUAUUAAAUCCUGUGAUACUCAUUGUUUUUCUAUAAAAAUCAUCACAUUUCAAGUGUUAGGUAGUGUGUAUAGAACUGACAGGUAAUAAUUUUGACAGGUAUGGGAUUAAAUAGAAUCCAUCCAAAACCAUUUACUUUCCUUAUACAUUAUAGCAGAAGUGGCUAAAUUAGAGGGUUGUUCCUGUCUCCAUCAUGCACUUCUGUCUUCUACUCCAUCCCUUGUAUAUAUUGGGGAUAUUUUGAGCCAAGUGCUAACGUUACUUACACAGCUGAUAUUUCAGAUUAAUAUGAAUGCUGACCGUUUGCCCUCACAACAUGCCCACAACACAUGGAUUAUACAGGGGAAUUAAUCGUUAGCAAUGAAUUCAACAUUUAGCUUUUAACAUUUUUAUUCUGCCAGUAAGGCCAGAGAAUAAAUCUAUUCUUUCUAGCAGGCAAUUAUUAAUCUCUGGCUUUCACAAACAGCAAACGGCCACUGAAUCCAGCUGACAGCAUAUAUUUAUUUAAAGAUUAAUAAGGAGAAUUAUUUAUAUUAGUUAAAACGUAUUCUUCAUUAUGUUUAAAUCUUUCCAGAGCUAUGGCAGGAGUUGGAUUGGAGUAUACAGAAUGGAUUAACUUAUUCUAAUUGUUAUCUAAAGUAGAGGCAUUGAGCACUGAUAUGGUUUGGCUGUGUCCUCAACCAAAUCUCAUCUUGAAUCAGUUCCCAUAAUCCCCACGUGUCAAGGGCGGGACCAGGUGGAGGUAACUGAAUCAUGGGAACGGUUUCCCUCAUGCUGUUCUCAUGAUAGUGAGUGAGUUAUUACCUAACUUUUUGCUAAGAAAAUACAUUUUCAAACUCUUCAUCCUUUGGUGUGACCAGGUUCAGAGAUGUCCCUUCAUGUAUCU
rnacentral:lncRNA from 1 species